rnacentral:rRNA from 1 species
UACAGAGGUCUCGAGCGUUUGUUCGGAUUCAUUGGGCGUAAAGGGCGCGUAGGCGGCGGGGUAAGUCUGGUGUGAAAUCUCAGAGCUCAACUCUGAAACUGCACUCGAUACUGCUUUGCUUGAGGACUGGAGAGGAGAUUGGAAUUCACGGUGUAGCAGUGAAAUGCGUAGAUAUCGUGAGGAAGACCAGUGGCGAAGGCGGAU